UAGGGAAUCUUACGCAAUGGGCGAAAGCCUGACGGAGCAACGCCGCGUGAGUGAUGAAGGUCUUCGGAUCGUAAAACUCUGUUAUUAGGGAAGAACAAAUGUGUAAGUAACUAUGCACGUCUUGACGGUACCUAAUCAGAAAGCCACGGCUAACUACGUGCCAGCAGCCGCGGUAAUACGUAGGUGGCAAGCGUUAUCCGGAAUUAUUGGGCGUAAAGCGCGCGUAGGCGGUUUUUUAAGUCUGAUGUGAAAGCCCACGGCUCAACCGUGGAGGGUCAUUGGAAACUGGAAAACUUGAGUGCAGAAGAGGAAAGUGGAAUUCCAUGUGUAGCGGUGAAAUGCGCAGAGAUAUGGAGGAACACCAGUGGCGAAGGCGACUUUCUGGUCUGUAUCUGACGCUGAUGUGCGAAAGCGUGGGGAUCAAACAGG
rnacentral:rRNA from 1 species